UUAGAAUUGUUCUCCUGAAAUAUGGGUACCUGAAGCUUGUACCCAGUAGCUCAUUUCAUCAUGAGUUGAGGGUUCAUCCCAGAGGCUUUGACUCCAGAAGCACUUCUGGGUUUCGUCUGCCUGCACCAUGAGCCAACUUGGGAUGAGUGAAGAAAGUUCUGGGGCAAAACUUAGAAAGACAAAUUGCAGUCCUAGAUGAGGGGUCUUGGCCUUAUCAGAUCUUUGUGCAUACAACUGAAUUGUGUGGGUGAGGCUUGCAGAAAAAAAUCAGCUAGAACAGCCUUGGGGGUAGUGGCAAGGUGGCCAGAGCAAUUGACUGGGAGCUGGGAACAGGAAUGAAAAGGAAGACCUGAUAAGAAACAUGCCCAGAGCAGAUUUGAUGCUACUGCCAACGUACCUGAAUAAGAAGACAACACUUUCUGGAAAAAGGGAAAACUUGAAGGGCUAUUGAAGGCCGCUAGAAAGUACAGAAGGAACUUUGGAUGUGGGAGAGAAAGACAAGGAGAAACCUGAAAGCAGCCCAGUUAUGACAAUGAAUGUGUGAUCAACAGAGAAGAGUGUGCUGACUUAGAGAAGAGAUUCUCAAACUUGAAUGCACCCACAAAUCACCUAUCUUGUUAAAAUGCAGAUCAUGCUUCAUCAGGCCUGAGAAUCUGCAUUUCUAACCAGCUGUCAUGGCUGCUGGCCUGUGGACCACACUGCGAGACCAGGACUUACAGCAUGGUAAUUCAAUGAAGGCUGUAAACCAAAAUUUCAGGUAAAACAGUUUCCAUAUCAAUUUGAUUUAAAGGUCAAAUCUCCCCAGACUUCGAAGAACACUGAGGCCAAACAGCACCAAAGGAGAGUAUCACACAUUAAGUAAAGAAGUCCUUCAGAAUUGUUAGGAUACAUUUUUGUCUGGAUUAUGUUUGUCUAUUAUAACAUCUAAUGGAGACUCCUGAAAAUAGAUUUACAUACAAGAUGUAAGGAAAGUAAAAUGUGUCUUUAGUAAAAGAAUAUGAGAAAGCAUGGGAAUGUAAAUUUUUGCCUAGCUCAGAGGGUUCAAAGAUUGUUUUAAAUGAGAUAAGAGAAAACUAAAGGUUCAAACAAGUUAUGGAAGGUUUGUAAAAAUUUUGUAAAAUAAGUAUGUAAAUAUACUGACUAAAUUUAAAAGGGUAUUUGGUUUUUCCAUAAAUUGAACAUUGGAAUAAAUGCACAACAAGGGUUUCUUGAGGAUUUGUCUGUAAGGUUUUAUUUUUUAAAAAUUGGGGUGAAAUUUGGCUUUCUCUUGAACACGACUUUUGUACAAUGAAAUGUUUUUGUUUGCAAACUAUCAACAAAAGAAGGGAAGGACAAGAGACAGAUUAUUUGGAAAACUAGGUCUUCUGUCUUAAUGAGUAAACAUUUUUGCUUUUUAAAAUAAAUUUGAGUCAUCAUUGUAGCUAAACGGAUGACUUAUGGCAAUCUGAAAUUCUAUUAAGUGUUUGAGUCUUUACAGCUUCCAAAUUGCCUUUCCUAACUCCCAACUUUUGGAAGCUACAGAGGGACCCUGGAGUGUCCAAAGUAGAGGAAAACAGGAUUAUUUGACAUGUUUGUUUAGUUAUAUAGGAUUAUUGAAAUAAGGUGGUGUUUGAUCUUCAGGUUAUAUUUUAGUGAAAAAUGUUAAUAUGUGUUCCAAAAUAGUAUGAGAUUUCUGGAGUUCUGAUGUCUGAGUUUGUGUUAUUAAUCAUAAUUAGGGUCAUUGUGUUAGGUUAUCGUAAAUCACAGAGGUGACCAAAUUUCUUUGUCAAUUAUGUUUUUGACUGUAACUAACCUAGGACAUUUUAACAUUCAUAGACAAUUGUUGUCUUGUUUUGA